rfam:Alligator sinensis unplaced genomic scaffold scaffold647_2, whole genome shotgun sequence
GGUCUCUGAUGAUGUCAGCACUGGGCACUGAGCUCCUGUGAUGAUGGCAGUGCCUCCUAGGUUCUUGACACCCUGGGGGACUGAAGGGCAG